rnacentral:tRNA from 1 species
AAGUAUAUAAUUUUUGAUUUCGACUCAUAAAGCUAGCAUUUGCUAAAUACUUA